rnacentral:rRNA from 1 species
AUUGUAGGUGAACCUGCGGAAGGAUCAUUAAAGAUUCGACCUUCGGGUCUAUCUUAUCUUCAGCUGUGCGCUUUUGCUGCACGCUGUUGAACUUCACACACCUGUGCACACUUCGGUUGCGGUUAGUUAACUCUAGCUGCUUCCGCUUUUACAUUUAACUACUAAGUCUUGAAUGUCAAAUACAAUAAAAAUAACAACUUUCAACAACGGAUCUCUUGGCUCUCGCAUCGAUGAAGAACGCAGCGAAAUGCGAUACGUAAUGUGAAUUGCAGAAUUCAGUGAAUCAUCGAAUCUUUGAACGCAACUUGCGCUCCUUGGUAUUCCAUGGAGCAUGCCUGUUUGAGAGUCACGUAAACCCUCACCCUUACGAUGUUACAAUUGUAUUGUGGUGGAUUUGGAUUGUGCCGUAAUUGGCUCAUCCUGAAAUGCAUUAGCUUGUGCUUUUUACAGUGCUCGGCAUGGUGUGAUAAUUAUCUGCGCCGUCGCCUUAGGCCUGUUCUAUAUGUGCAGCUUCUAAUCGUCCCUUGUGGACAACUUACUUAACACUUUGGCCUCAAAUCAGGUAGGACUACCCGCUGAACUUGAGCAUAUCAAUAAGCGGAGGA